AUCUCUGGUUUUUCUAAAUUCAUGCAUAAAUAUUUUGCCUUUUAUUAAAGAGUUCUGUGGAGAGGGACAUCAAGGAGUUUGAUGUAUUUUUGUGAGCUUUGCUCUGGCAAAGCU